UCAUAAGAUGUAAAUUGAGGUCUCCUG
rnacentral:sRNA from 1 species